AUGCCUACACAUAGGGAACCGGCGACGGAAUUGGUGAUGUUUGAACAACGGGUUUGUUGUAUCAAAGUAGUCCUUUCAGAGAAGGAAAUGUCCGCUCUCUCGGUUACGAUUCAACGCCGGAAGGUGGCUCGGAAUGGAGCCACGGAACAACGGUCGCUGGUUGUUGAGGUGGUGAUGGACCAACACGGCAGCCAAUAUCUCCUCCUCGUCGUCGGACAACGAGUCGUCGGAGUCGCAAAUGAAAUUGUGGAAAAAGAACUCGUCGGCGGAGUCCAUUUUUGUACCUUGGCAAACUGUCGAACAGCUUGCGGGCGUCGAAGAAGGAGGCGGCCGGCGAGGGGAGACGCGGCACCCACAGACCAGCUAGCUGCCCGGCCGGCGUUCGACGAGUGUGACGGCGUCCGACGAGCGUGCCGGUCGUAUGUGGCGGGGGCGGCGAGGCCUCUUCUUGGUCGCGGGCGGCUGUGCGGUGGGGGAAGCGGCGGCGGGAACUACUUUGCUCCCCGGCGGCGGCGGGCGACUGGGGACAGGGGCGGCGUUGCUGGGCGGAUGUGGAGGCGGCGGCAGCUGGAAGAGUCGCCGCAAAAAUCGGCGGCGGCGUCGGUGACGGAGGAGGCGGGGGGCGAGGGUUGCUUGUUGGCCGGGGGGAGGGAGGCCAAUGUGCCACAGACCAGCGGGCCCGGGGACAGGAGUAGGCGACCGCGCGCGCGCCCGUCGCGUGUCCGCGCCGACGCAAAUCAUGCUCAAAUAUGGGCCGGGAAUGGGUCUCCCGCGGACGAAAAACGGACGCGCGUCCGUUUGGGUCGGCGCGUUGGGCCGCCUUUUCUGUCCGCGCUGACCCAAAUGGACGGCCGCGGACGAAAUGGGUCGCCCCAUUGGAGUUGCUCUUAUAUAUUAUUUAAGUCAAUCUGA
rnacentral:rRNA from 1 species